rnacentral:rRNA from 1 species
CAAAAACAUCGCCUCUUGAAUAAACAUAAGAGGUCCAGCCUGCCCAGUGACUAAUGUUCAACGGCCGCGGUAUCCUAACCGUGCGAAGGUAGCGUAAUCACUUGUUCUUUAAAUGAGGACUAGUAUGAAUGGCACCACGAGGGUUAUACUGUCUCCUUUCUCUGAUCAGUGAAACUAAUCUCCCCGUGAAGAAGCGGGGAUACAACUAUAAGACGAGAAGACCCUAUGGAGCUUUAAAUCUCUUUUUCAAACGCCAAAAUCUUAUUCAAGUUUCAGACUUAUUCUUACAUUUACCUAGGCGCCAUGAAAAUGAUUUUAGGUUGGGGUGACCACGGAGCACAAAAAAACCUCCAUGCUGGACUAGACAUCCAAACCUUGAGCUAAGAGCUACAACUCAACGCACUAAAAAAUUAACACCAAUUGACCCAAUAUUUUCUUGAUCAACGAACCAAGUUACCCUAGGGAUAACAGCGCAAUCCAUUUCAAGAGUCCGUAUCGACAAAUGGGUUUACGACCUCGAUGUUGGAUCAGGGUCUCCCAGUGGUGCAGCCGCUACUAAUGGUUCGUUUGUUCAACGAUUAAAACCCU